CAUCUCCUGCACGCCUCUUCAUUAGUAGGAACAAGUUCACCUUGUCCGCYRUCGGUUAUCCUGUGUUGCAUACCUUUUAUGAGGGCAUUCGRUUGGCUAAAACGGUCCCAUCUCCGCCUUGUGUCGGCGCUCCGUGCGGGCGUGCGGCGYGGGGCGGAUCUCACGGCRUGCGUCGUGUUUCGCGCCGCAUUCACCCAUUGUGGUGUUUGGGUAGGCGACACUCGACGUGCUGCCCGUUGUCUCGGGUGCGGAAYAUUGGGUCGGUACGAGGCAUCGGCCUCAUCACGACACAAAUGCGUUCUACGCUUUAUGCRAACGACGGCCGCACUCGGCCUUCGGCGGAGCACCCGUUGCUCGGUCGAAGCCCUGUCGGCGUCGGUGAGGAAUGC
rnacentral:misc_RNA from 1 species